UAUCUCUCCGUACGGGGAAGGAUGAGAAGCUUCGACUAAGGUUCGAUUCGAGCGCAGCGAGAAAGCGUUGCCGGAGGCAACGAACCGAAGGGCGAAGCGCGCAGCGCUGAGUAAUCCUUCCCCCACCACCA
rnacentral:sRNA from 1 species